AUGUUGUGCCACUCCUGUAUGAAUGCACAGGUUUGUGGAGUGUUUCUCUUCCGGCAUCCAUGGAAAAAACAUCAACAACCAAUCCCGAAAGGAGCAGACUUCACAAACAUUAUUAAACUUGAAUUGCAAGGAGCACCAGUGCAGAGUUUUAUCAGUCCCGUAUUUCUGAUAAACAGGAAUGCACUUCAUUGCUGUGGAGGUGGAUCUGAAUUGCACAGUGUGUCCCCAGAGAGAAGAAGGACUGUCCUGUGCCCGGGGCUGUGUCUGUGGGGCUGUGUCCGGGUGUGCACCAUGGGCAGGGCAGCAGGCGCUGCCAUCCUGCUGCCCCAGGUGCCCCAGGAACAGAAUUUGGCAAAGGAAGAGCUCCCUGUUGGCUCAGUGAGCCACUGCUGGUGGCAGGGCUGGAGCAAAGACUGGGAUGAUGCCCAGGAGAACCGUGAGGGCACAUGGACACCAACACCAGCACCCGAGCUCCCAGCCCAUGAGAUCUGCCCCAGACAGGUCAUCACCUCACUGUUUGCAAUCACUGGAGUCCACUGAGGCAUUGCUGACACAGACCCACUUCUGCUCUGGAACAUCCUACACCUGCAGAGAGCUCUGGAACCCUGUGACAAACAGCUUCUGACCCUGGGGAAACUGCUAAAAAAAUGUGAUAUGCAGUGACUCAGGUUUACUAGGAGAAAACAAAUAUUUAAAGUAUUCAGAGUAGUUUUGGGAGAAUUAUUAACAAGCAGAUAUUAAAGACUCUGGUUUGACACCUGCUCUGUUGUUUUGCCUAUGAUAGGAAACAGAAGUGGCAAAUAGCUGAACCAGGGCAACAGACAGCAGGAAAACAGCAUGAAAGGCAGGCAGAUUGCUGAUGAGAAGAUGGUUUUGGGAUGAUUUUAGUGUGAAAGUUCUUUUAAAAUUAGUAAUUGUGAUCACACAUACAUUGUCUGUGUCAUCUACACCUCCCUGUACUCUUCUUAUGCCUCUCUGUUAUUGUACUUUUAAACCUUAAUUAUUUUUCCACAGAAAUGAAAUUGUUAUUAGCAUCUGUUUUGUCUGCAUAAUUACUGUGUCUGUUAAAAGGCUUAUUUCUGUUAUUUCCAGAUCCCUUCCACAAAUCCUUACAUUGGUAAUUAGGAUAACUUGCAAAUACUGGUGCCAUGAAAAGGAUCAGAAAUUUUCAGUCUGAACCACCAAUUUCCUUCUGAUGACUCAUACUAUAGGGGGUACCAUAAAAAUAUUAAUCAUUUUAGAAAAAAGCAAUAAUUCCAAGCUGUGUUUUACUGUAUGUGUUGCCAAGGAGAUCCAGCUCUGUGAAUGACUUUAGGACCUGGACUCCUCGUACCAGCUACAGGAGAAAUGUCAAAAACGUGAUAAUUUUUUUCAGUCAGAACAAAUUUCAGUAUAGCUUAUUCCAGCUGUGUUUUCAUCCUGGAGACUGAGGAGGGGUCAGAGAAGGCACCUGAGGGUGGGGAGUUGUGCCAGGAGCCUGUUUUGAGCAAUAGGGAGAGUGGAGCUAUGGAGGGU
rnacentral:lncRNA from 1 species